rnacentral:rRNA from 1 species
CGGUUAAAACGCUCGUAGUUGGGUUUCUGUCAGGAACAACUGGUCUGUCCUGUGUGUCGAGCACUAGUUCGGCUCCUGGCAUCUUCUUGGGGAACGGGUGCGCACUUCACUGUGUGGCCUGGAAACCUUGACGUUUACUUUGAGGAAAUGAGAGUGCUUCAAGCGGGUGUCCGCCACGAAUACGUUAGCAUGGAAUAAUAGUAUUGGACCUCGGAUCAUAGCUGUUGGUUGCUGGAAUCGGGGUGAGGGUAAACAGGGACAGUUGGGGGCAUUCGCAUUUAACUGUCAGAGGUGAAAUUCUUGGAUUCUGUUAAAGACGGACUACUGCGAAAGCAUUUGCCAAGGAUGUUUUCAUUGAUCAAGAACGAAAGUUAGGGGAUCGAAGACGAUCAGAUACCGUCCUAGUCUUAACCAUAAACCAUGCCGACUAGAGAUUGGAGGUCGUUGCUCUUCCGACGCCCUCGGCAUCUUGGGAGAAAUCAAAGUCUUUGGGUUCCGGGGGGAGUAUGGUCGCAAGGCUGAAACUU